UACGAAGGGGGCUAGCGUUGCUCGGAAUCACUGGGCGUAAAGGGUGCGUAGGCGGGUCUUUAAGUCAGAGGUGAAAUCCUGGAGCUCAACUCCAGAACUGCCUUUGAUACUGAGGAUCUUGAGUUCGGGAGAGGUGAGUGGAACUGCGAGUGUAGAGGUGAAAUUCGUAGAUAUUCGGAAGAACACCAGUGGCGAAGGCGACUCACUGGCCCGUUACUGACGCUGAGGCGCGAAAGCGUGGGGAGCAAACAGG
rnacentral:rRNA from 1 species